rnacentral:rRNA from 1 species
GACGAACACUGGCGGCGUGCCUAAUACAUGCAAGUAGACCUUAGUGGCGAACGGGUGAGUAACACGUGGGUAACCUGCCCAUCAGAAGGGGAUAACACUUGGCAACAGGUGCUAAUACCGUAUACUGAUGGAUGGACCCGCGGUGCAUUAGCUAGUUGGUGAGGUACCGGCUCACCAAGGCCACGAUGCAUAGCCGACCUGAGAGGGUGAUCGGCCACAUUGGGACUAAGACACGGCCCAAACUCCUACGGUGGGCAGCAGUGGGGAAUCUUCGGCAAUGGACGAAAGUCUGACCGAGCAACGCCGCGUGAGGGAAGAAGGUUUUCGGAUCGGAAAACUCUGUUGUUGGAGAAGCGUUAUCUAACCAGAAAGCCACGGCUAACUACGUGCCAGCAGCCGCGGUAAUAC